AAACAGGCCAGAAUUGUUAUUUGCACAAUAAUUGGGAUUUUGUGAAAACGACAUUUUCCAGUUGUUAUUAGAUUUUGAAUGUCAAUAUUAACUAAAUUGACACACAAGGAAGAUAGACAUGCAUAUAAUUGAUUGAGACAAAAUUAAUGUAUUAAUUAUUUAUUAAAGAUUAGUAUUAUUAAUUGAAGUACUAUUAAUUGUUAAAAACAAUGUUGUGGCAACCAUGCCAGUGGUGCACUGCACCUUGUUUAUUUCCACCGUGAUUUUUCUGUGGGCACACAAUUCUUGUGUGCCCCUUCUUCCCACACACCCAGCAUAGCAUUCCUGUUUAAUAUUAAUAAACAAUAAAUGUA